ensembl:lncRNA
ACACUUAAAAAGUUAACGGCUACAACAACGGGGAAUAAUUGUUUAAAAAGAAGCCAUGCGUUGGAUCCGAUUCCUCCCACCCAAAUGUUAUUUAGGUGAAAAUAAAACUGCCACCGGACACGUUUGCUUGAGGAAUCCAUCAGACCAGACCACCUCCAUUUUAUGAACCCACAGAACCCUCCCCAUCCAGCUCUCCCCUCCUCACCCCUCCUCCUCUCCCAUCCUCUGUGUGGAAAAAACCAUGUUUCAGAACUGUCGGAUGUUUAUGGACGGGGAAUCCAAAGAGUUGCCUUGGUAUGUGCAAAUACCUUUUACGUAGCCCAUCUCAAAUUACGUUAAAAAAAAUAAAGAAGGCAAUUUCAGAAUACCUGUCUCCAGCUAUCCCUCCUAGGUCAACAAAGGCACCCAUCUUCCACCAUGAGCAACAGGAAGGCCUAACCCAGAAGAAGCCUAACAUGAAAAAACAACAUUAUCUGUUACCUUGUACAGACUGGUGGAGAUCGGAGAUUUUAACGAGGAGUGGCCAGAGACAAACGGUAUGUAAAAUCCACCCUGAAUGAAAGAGCUGAACCUCGGAGGAAUAGAGUACAAUCGGAUGAUCCACACUUUUUUUUUAUUAAAGUUUGCAAAAUUUACAGACUUAUUAAAGCGGUUGAUCAUCAGAAAAAUGUUUCAGAAGACUGUUAUCAUCAAUCUCUGAAUAAAAAUAACCACAAACUUAGUAACUUUGAUUAAACCAGCUAUCUCAAUAGAAGGACACAGACUCUAAUUGAGGAGAUGCUAAAAACUCAGCUCAGAGAUAAAUUUUUAUCCUUCAUGACUAUUAUAACCAAAGCAUAGAGUAUGAGUUUAAAAUUUGUUUUCAGUUUUCUAGAGAGGCCCCUUUGAGAUGGCAGCAUCCUGGGAGAAACGGAACCUGGGCCGCCGUCUCCAGCCCGAGUCGUUGGACCAGAACCAGGCGGUGGUUAUAGCCGAGCUAGCAGACUGGAAUCCAGCUACCACACCAGCAGUGACACACCCAGUAAACCAGAACAACAGCCACAGACCUGCCUCCAAACAAGAAUAACAGAGGACUCCUCCUCUUAUUGUCUUCC